rnacentral:rRNA from 1 species
CUACGGACUCCUACGGGAGGCAGCAGUGGGGAAUAUUGCACAAUGGGCGCAAGCCUGAUGCAGCCAUGCCGCGUGUAUGAAGAAGGCCUUCGGGUUGUAAAGUACUUUCAGCAGUGAGGAAGGUGGAUAUGUUAAUAGCAUAUUCAUUUGACGUUAGCUGCAGAAGAAGCACCGGCUAACUCCGUGCCAGCAGCCGCGGUAAUACGGAGGGUGCGAGCGUUAAUCGGAAUUACUGGGCGUAAAGCGCAUGCAGGUGGUUUGUUAAGUCAGAUGUGAAAGCCCGGGGCUCAACCUCGGAAUUGCAUUUGAAACUGGCAAACUAGAGUACUGUAGAGGGGGUAGAAUUUCAGGUGUAGCGGUGAAAUGCGUAGAGAUCUGAAGGAAUACCGGUGGCGAAGGCGGCCCCCUGGACAGAUACUGACACUCAGAUGCGAAAGCGUGGGGAGCAAACAGGAUUAGAUACCCUGGUAG